rnacentral:rRNA from 1 species
UCGAGAAUCUUCCGCAAUGGACGAAAGUCUGACGGAGCGACGCCGCGUGGUGGAUGAAGUCCUUCGGGACGUAAACACCUUUUAUGAGGGAGGAAGUUUAUUGACGUUACCUCAUGAAUAAGGGGCUCCCAACUCUGUGCCAGCAGGAGCGGUAAUACAGAGGCCCCAAGCAUUAUCCGGAUUUACUGGGCGUAAAGGGUGCGUAGGCGGUGUGAUUAGUCAGAUGUUAAAUCCCGGGGCUUAACCCCG